UUGGAAAUGUUGCUGUGCUCUACAACUGACAUUCAGUUCAAAUCUUAUUGUUAUGUGCAGCGGAAGAUUUCCUGGAGUGGAAGUUGGCUUCCCUAAUUGGCAUAUGUGCUUCUAGCUAAAUCUAUAGUGGAAAAAAUCCUGAAUUUUCAAAGGAUUUUCUACCACUGUUAAUUGCAUUAUAUUACGGUGAUUUUAGGUUUCCCUUUAUAACCAAGAUCUGAGUACUAUUUUAUUUCUUUUGUUGUUUAGGUCUUCGGAGCUAGAGGGAAAAAAGGGGUUAACCGCGAAGCAGGUCUGGCACAUUCUGGCAAAAACAUCAGUCAAAGGGAUCCAACUUAGCUCUUCUCCUCUUUGGAAUUUCCACUGGCUGUAGCUGUGCUAUUUUUAGAAGUUUGCUUUUUAUUUGCAUUCUCUUUCUUUUCUCUCUGCCAACACCGAGACUGAGAUCUCAUAAAACUGACAUUAAAAUUAUCAAAUAAUAUUGAACCAACCUAAUGAAAAUCUUAACCAAAAGUCACUGUAAAUUAGGUAUUUGCUAUACUGAGAAUACAAGCCUUUGUAAACUAGAUAUUGUUCUUAUGUAAACUCAUGAAUGGAGACUUUCUCAAAUAAAUUACUUCUUAAUAACACCAGAGAGUCAUUGGCUGUGUAAAUAUCUCCCUGGGGCACUCACUG
rnacentral:lncRNA from 1 species